rnacentral:rRNA from 1 species
UACGUAGGGUGCGAGCGUUAAUCGGAAUUACUGGGCGUAAAGCGUGCGCAGGCGGUUUUGUAAGCCAGAUGUGAAAUCCCCGGGCUUAACCUGGGAAUGGCAUUUGGGACUGCAAGGCUCGAGUGCGGCAGAGGAGACUGGAAUUCCUGGUGUAGCAGUGAAAUGCGUAGAUAUCAGGAGGAACACCGAUGGCGAAGGCAAUCCCCUGGACCUGUACUGACGCUCAUGCACGAAAGCGUGGGGAGCGAACAGG